AAGGGCCGACCUUCUUGUCCUUGACUCAUCCCGUAGCCUUAAGCCAAUCACCGCCUUGUGGUCCUCAGCUUCUGCUUCGGGACAGUCAGGACGCUUGGCCAGAUGGUUCCCAAGCCUCUCCUGCCUCUGAUGUGGAAGCAGCUGUGAUCCUUGUCGAUGUUACAACUACCAAUAUCAGGAUCCUUCUGGAAUGUUCUCACAUGCAGCUGGCCACUAACCGCUGGCAAAGGCCUGGGGGGGUCAGCAGGGAGUAGACAGAAAUGACAAAGAAACCAGAAGAAAAGUAAGAACCAACCACUUUAGCGGUUCCUGGCCAUUCAGAAAGUUGAGGAUUUUCUAAUCUGCCCAAGCAGACAGGAGAAAUGCCCGCCUAAUCAGACACAGCUUAGAAAAAGGGGCAUGAAGGACGGCCCCUCCAUCCACGGAAAACCACCCCAGUGUGACAGUGACGCGGACGUGCCUGGUUGCCGCCAUCCCAGAAAUAACCGGCGCCCCCCCAAGA